GGCGGCGGGGCGACGGCGGGGGCCCGCGGCGGCGCUCGGGCGGGCGGACUACUUGACGUGUCGGUGCGGCGAAUUUAUUUCACUUUGCCUAAGGAACGGGGUGUGCUGCGGCGCCCAUUGCCUAGGGAAAAAACCCGGAUGUAAAGUCAACCCAAAGAAGAUUUGAAGUCUGUCUGGAAACCUGAGGGUCCCACUUCUUUACGGAGGCAGAGAGGGAGCAUGGAAACCUGGAAAUCUGAAGAACAAGUUGAUGCAACUAUAUGAGUGAAACCCUGUGAUACAAUGUAACAUCCCAAAUUCCAACCAAGUGAAAGCAGCAUUCAACAGUAGUGUGCAACCUUCUAUCUUCCACGUUAAAUCAGGCCACAGGAACAACUGUAAACCUACUUUUGCCCACCCCUGUAUAAUUGCGGCCCUUUGCCGAGUACUCAGUGCAGAGGGAGAGGCUGUGAUGUUUGUUCUGCGGAGUCGGCAGUACUCGGAGCUCAGGAGCAGCUCCCUAGCACAGGGACAGCGCGGACCCGCGUGAACACAGAGGGCCUAGGCCUGCCCCGUGCCUGCUUCCUGACAUCAGCUCCGUCAUCGCAGCUCAACUGUUGUCUGCCAGGAUUUCCUAUCCGAGCGAGGUUCCCUAUCCAGGUAUGAGUUAACCGGACGUUAAAAAGACCCCACCUGAUGUGUGUGUCUGUGUGUGCACAUGUAGUUUUUUUUUCUCCUGGAAAGAAACAAGGAUUUUUCCACACUCCCCUGAGCAAAACCAGCUGAGCUGAGUUAGCUCAAACUUCUCGAAAACAAUUCACCUCUGCCCUUAGACCAGAUAGGGAAUGUUUCCACCCCAAGGUAGACUCGUGGGAGGAGUGGUGUUAGAAAAACCACAAGUGAUUCUGAAGAGGGUCAGCGUGAAAUCAUCACGAACCCCAAUCCCUUCAGCUUAGAAUGUGGCAAGUUUUGAUUGUUUGCUUGUGUCUUUAUUUUAUUUUUAUUUUUUUGCUUGUGUCCUUUAAAAAAAUGCAAGUACAGCCAUUAUUUUACCUGGAACUCAGACAUGGAAGGCUCUACCUCUGCUCUCUCCACAUAUUUUAUACUGUGCGCAUCAACCUCUCACAUUUGCUCUUGUCUCUGAGUCUAAUCAUCCCAAGGUCCCUGGACUCAGCAAUCACACCUCAGCAGUUCUUCAAACUACACACGGAAAAUGUGCUGCUCCCUCAUCCUCCCGCUGACCCCCUCCCCACCUCAGGACCAGAUGUCUAGAACGAGAUGCUAAUCUGAAAAGCCCUUCUAGAUUGUCGCUGAUGUGUGAACCAAGUUAUCACCCACCCCACAAUACAGGGAGCUUUUCUUAAAGCUAAAUGGAUUGCAUUUUUAACUCAUACAUGAUACCCUUUUUAAUUUUUUGUUUUCAAGUAUUCUUUUAUGAACAUUUAGCGAAAAUAGAUGGUGGUUAGUUGUGUUAUUUUUUUAUACUGUUCUUACUUGGCAAAACUGAAAAUUGGCAAAAUAAAAAGUUGGCAACUUAUGCACAUCAAAAUACAUUUUGAGAUUUUCCUAGCCUAUAAAUUCCAAAAGUCUGGGAAUCACCUGGAAAAGGAGCCAAGUGCAUGAAUUGAAGGAAAUAUAUAUGAACUGGGUACGUGCUGGGCUCAUAUGCAUCAUUUCAUCUCAUCCUUACAACAACGCUGCAGGGAGGGCAAUAGCAUUUCCAUUUGACGGAUCCGAGAAGUGGGGCUUUCAGAGGUUGACUUGCCUUCUGGAAGGGAGACGGGAAAGGCCAGGAUUUGAACCCAGGCUGUAUGAAACCAGACCCAGAGUCUCCCCUUCCACCUCACAAUGUCUACUCUUGAACUCACACAUACAACGGGAGAUUCAGAAAAGCAUCUAAAAUUGAAGCCGGUGUAGAGCCUUCACAGAAGCCACUGCGAAUAAAUACAUUCAUAGAUCAAGAUCAAUCCUUGAGAAAAAUACCACAUGAUCUCACUCAUUCAUGGAUAAUAGA